rnacentral:rRNA from 1 species
AUGGCGAGCCCUGGUGGAUUUCAUCGUUCAGUUACCCUGCAGGCCUUAUCUAUCUUCUCUUCACUUGCAGUUUUUGUAGCAGAAGUCCAAGGAGGAGAUGUGUGCGCACAAUUCUCCUGUGGACAUCUGCAAAACAUAUCGUAUCCUUUCUGCCGGAGAGGUGAUCCUCUCAACUGCUGUGUUGGAGCAUAUGAGCUGGGUUGUAGCAGUAGCAAGGCUACAAUUUACAUCAACUCAGGAACAUACUAUGUGACUGGCAUCAACUACACCGAUUCGUCCUUCUGGGUCGUGGAUGCCAGCUUGGAUGUCAAUAGUAGCUGUUCUCUUCCUUACUUAGGCUAUGGGGAGGAAAGCUGCCUAACCGAUUCACAAGGCUUUUGUGAUUUGACCACUAAUAGCGACAACUGGGCAUGCUUUGUUAAUUGCUCUCGAGCUGUAACGCAUAACAGUCAGUACAUGCCCAUUGCUUGCCUUAAUGCGAAGAAUUCACAUUUUUAUGUUUUGGUGGCUAAUUAUAGAGGCUGCAUUGUUGAAGAUCUUGAACCUUUUUGUGGAUAUUUGGCCAUGCGUCCCUUUGGUUCGUAUACCACCAGGCUACAGCAGAAUGCAAGUUAUGCAGAUAUCAUGCAAUUCAUAAGGAGAGGCUUUUCUGUUCAGUUUCCUGAAAUGCAUGCGGAUCCAGGUUGGCCUUCUGUCUAUGAAGCCAUCAAUAUAUGCCUGAACAAUUCAACCAGCUACUACAAGCAGCAAAUAUCCGGUGCAAACAUCCUCAACUGGACUCGUACCUUUUUCUGGGGCGAGACACAUUUCUUAAAAUGCAUAGCUGAAAACACCGACAGCAUGAUCUUCAUUGCAGUUGUUAAAGCGAUAAUAUCCGCUAUUGAUAUCCCCAAGUUCCUCAUCGUACUAUGCAGGUUUUUGUUGGCGCCCCUGUCUGUAUUGAUCUUCCUUGCCCAGAAGUAUUGGAAAACAAGGAUAACAAUUGAUGCAGUUGAGAAGUUUCUCCGAAUGCAGCAAAUGCUCGGUCCGAUGAGGUACGCCUAUACCGAUAUCACCGCAAUCACAGGCCACUUUAGAGAUAAAUUGGGGCAAGGGGGGUAUGGCUCUGUGUACAAGGGCGUACUGCUCCCAGGCGAUGUCCAUGUCGCUGUCAAGAUGCUAGCAGGUAACUCGAACUGUAACGCAGAGGAUUUCAUCAGUGAGGUCUCCACCAUUGGCAGGAUACACCAUGUCAAUGUGGUCCGUUUGGUCGGGUUCUGCUCAGAGGAAAUGAAGAGGGGACUGGUCUACGAGUACAUGCCUCGAGGUUCUCUUGACAAGUACAUCUUCUCGGAUGAGAAGUGUUUCUCCUUGGACAAGCUCAAUGAGAUUGCUCUGGGCAUUGCCAGUGGAAUCAACUACUUGCAUGAGGGAUGCGAUAUGCAGAUUCUACACUUUGACAUCAAACAGCACAACAUCCUUCUUGACAGCAAUUUCACCCCCAAAGUUGCUGAUUUUGGUCUUGCCAAGCUGUGCCCAAGGGGCGACAAUUUUGUGCCAUUAAGUGCCUUACGAGGAACCGUUGGGUACAUUGCUCCUGAGAUGAUAUCUCGGGGCUUUGGUGUCAUAUCAAGCAAGUCCGAUGUUUACAGUUUUGGAAUGCUGCUGCUGGAGAUGGCAGGAGGAAGGCGGAAUGCAGAUCCAGAUGCACCGAACUCAAGCCAAGCAUAUUACCCAUCGUGGGUGUAUGACCGUCUGACUGAGCAGGAAGCGGGUGAGAUAUCUAUUGUUGAUGACAUGCAUGAGUUGGAGAAAAAGCUAUGCAUCAUUGGACUGUGGUGCAUUCAGAUGAAGUCCCAUGAUCGCCCGACAAUGAGCGAGGUUAUAGAGAUGCUUGAAGGUGGUGCCAACAGCUUGCAAAUGCCUUCCAGGCCAUUCUUUUGUGACGAAGGGCACAUUCAUACUGAUGAUACUUACCAUUUAUCGUCUGAGUUGACUGAAAUCUCCGAGGAGGAUGACUGA